rnacentral:rRNA from 1 species
UACGGGGGGGGCAAGCGUUGUUCGGAAUUACUGGGCGUAAAGGGCUCGUAGGUGGCCAACUAAGUCAGACGUGAAAUCCCUCGGCUUAACCGGGGAACUGCGUCUGAUACUGGAUGGCUUGAGUUCGGGAGAGGGAUGCGGAAUUCCAGGUGUAGCGGUGAAAUGCGUAGAUAUCGAGAGGAACACCUGCGGCGAAGGCGGGUUGCUGGGCCGAUACUGACGCUGAGGCGCGAAAGCCAGGGGAGCGAACGGG